rnacentral:rRNA from 1 species
AGGCGUCGAGCGGCGGACGGGUGAGUAGCGCGUAGGAAUCUACCCAGUAGCGGGGGAUAGCCCGGGGAAACCCGGAUUAAUACCGCAUACGCCCCACGGGGGAAAGGCCGGGAUCUUCGGACCGGUCACUAUUGGAGGAGCCUGCGUUGGAUUAGCUAGUUGGUAGGGUAAAGGCCUACCAAGGCGACGAUCCAUAGCUGUUCUGAGAGGAAGAUCAGCCACACUGGAACUGAGACACGGUCCAGACUCC